CGAGCUCGCAAAUUAUAGAACUUUGUUUUUAUUUCUAUUUUAUAUUAGUGUUUUAUUUGUAAUGUAUUUAACCUAUAUAUAAUAAAACUAUAUCUUAUUAUAACCAAUACGCUCGCCUGCCAAAGACUCUGAUCAAGACCUGAGCAGAACAGACCACAGAGAAGUCUUCUGAGACCUGUCUUGUAAUUUCGCAUCCCUCUUCAGGAAUAACGGCAGUCACGUCUAGCGGGGAAACCCAGACCGGACCGAACAUGCACCUUAGCAUCUGCGAUUAAAUGGGCAGGGCUCAAACCACUUUUGGUGGAGCGUGAACACACUUUACUGUUAAUCACAACAAAGGGCUAAGCAAGCACACAACACUGACAAAGUGUGCGAUAGAGUAUGAGACCAAACGCAACUUUGGGACAUCUCAAUACAAUGAACAAAAUAAGCAAACAAAGGGAUA